rnacentral:rRNA from 1 species
AACAGGAUUAGAUACCCUGGUAGUCCAUGCCGUAAGCGAUGUCUACUAGCCGUUGGGGCCUUUGAGGCUUUAGUGGCGCAGCUAACGCGAUAAGUAGACCGCCUGGGGAGUACGGUCGCAAGACUAAAACUCAAAUGAAUUGACGGGGGCCCGCACAAGCGGUGGAGCACGUGGUUUAAUUCGAUGCAACGCGAAGAACCUUACCUGGUCUUGACAUAGUAAGAACUUUCCAGAGAUGGAUUGGUGCCUUCGGGAACUUACAUACAGGUGCUGCAUGGCUGUCGUCGGCUCGUGUCGUGAGACGUUGGGUUAAGUCCCGCAACGAGCGCAACCCUUUUCCUUAUUUGCCAGCACUUCGGGUGGGAACUUUAAGGAUACUGCCAGUGACAAACUGGAGGAAGGCGGGGACGACGUCAAGUCAUCAUGGCCCUUACGACCAGGGCUACACACGUGCUACAAUGGUCGGUACAAAGGGUUGCUACCUAGCGAUAGGAUGCUAAUCUCAAAAAGCCGAUCGUAGUCCGGAUUGGAGUCUGCAACUCGACUCCAUGAAGUCGGAAUCGCUAGUAAUCGCGGAUCAGAAUGCCGCGGUGAAUACGUUCCCGGGCCUUGUACACACCGCCCGUCACACCAUGGGAGUUUGUUGCACCAGAAGUAGGUAGUCUAACCGUAAGGAGGACGCUUACCACGGUGUGGCCGAUGACUGGGGUGAAGUCGUAACAAGGUAACC